UACCCUGAAGCACAGGUGUCAUGUACCCUGAAGCACAGGUGUCACGUACCCUGAAGCACAUUACAUUCCAAACAUUUUUGGGCUAAACUUAAAUAUUGCAUUGACUCUUAAUUUGAAAGCAAAUGAUGUAUAAAAAUGAGCACAGUGAAAAUUAAUUGACAGUAAAAUAGUGUUAGCUGAUGUUGCUACACAGUAAUUAAUACAACAUAGAUUAGACAGUAAAAUAGUGUUAGCUGAUGUUGCUACACAGUAAUUAAUACAACAUAGAUUAGACAGUAAAAUAGUGUUAGCUGAUGUUGCUACACAGUAAUUAAUACAACAUAGAUUAGACAGUAAAAUAGUGUUAGCUGAUGUUGCUACACAGUAAUUAAUACACCAUAGAUUAGACAGUAAAAUAGUGUUAGCUGAUGUUGCUACACAGUAAUUAAUACAACAUAGAUUAGACAGUAAAAUAGUGUUAGCUGAUGUUACUACACAGUAAUUAAUACAACAUAGAUUAGACAGUAAAAUAGUGUUAGCUGAUGUUGCUACACAGUAAUUAAUACACCAUAGAUUAGACAGUAAAAUAGUGUUAGCUGAUGUUGCUACACAGUAAUUAAUACAACAUAGAUUAGACAGUAAAAUAGUGUUAGCUGAUGUUGCUACACAGUAAUUAAUACACCAUAGAUUAGACAGUAAAAUAGUGUUAGCUGAUGUUGCUACACAGUAAUUAAUACAACAUAGAUUAGACAGUAAAAUAGUGUUAGCUGAUGUUGCUACACAGUAAUUAAUACAACAUAGAUUAGACAGUAAAAUAGUGUUAGCUGAUGUUGCUACACAGUAAUUAAUACAACAUAGAUUAGACAGUAAAAUAGUGUUAGCUGAUGUUGCUACACAGUAAUUAAUACACCAUAGAUUAGACAGUAAAAUAGUGUUAGCUGAUGUUGCUACACAGUAAUUAAUACAACAUAGAUUAGACAGUAAAAUAGUGUUAGCUGAUGUUGCUACACAGUAAUUAAUACAACAUAGAUUAGACAGUAAAAUAGUGUUAGCUGAUGUUGCUACACAGUAAUUAAUACAACAUAGAUUAGACAGUAAAAUAGUGUUAGCUGAUGUUGCUACACAGUAAUUAAUACAACAUAGAUUAGACAGUAAAAUAGUGUUAGCUGAUGUUGCUACACAGUAAUUAAUACAACAUAGAUUAGACAGUAAAAUAGUGUUAGCUGAUGUUGCUACACAGUAAUUAAUACACCAUAGAUUAGACAGUAAAAUAGUGUUAGCUGAUGUUGCUACACAGUAAUUAAUACACCAUAGAUUAGACAGUAAAAUAGUGUUAGCUGAUGUUACUACACAGUAAUUAAUACACCAUAGAUUAGACAGUAAAAUAGUGUUAGCUGAUGUUGCUACACAGUAAUUAAUACAACAUAGAUUAGACAGUAAAAUAGUGUUAGCUGAUGUUGCUACACAGUAAUUAAUACAACAUAGAUUAGACAGUAAAAUAGUGUUAGCUGAUGUUGCUACACAGUAAUUAAUACAACAUAGAUUAGACAGUAAAAUAGUGUUAGCUGAUGUUGCUACACAGUAAUUAAUACAACAUAGAUUAGACAGUAAAAUAGUGUUAGCUGAUGUUGCUACACAGUAAUUAAUACAACAUAGAUUAGACAGUAAAAUAGUGUUAGCUGAUGUUACUACACAGUAAUUAAUACAACAUAGAUUAGACAGUAAAAUAGUGUUAGCUGAUGUUGCUACACAGUAAUUAAUACAACAUAGAUUAGACAGUAAAAUAGUGUUAGCUGAUGUUGCUACACAGUAAUUAAUACAACAUAGAUUAGACAGUAAAAUAGUGUUAGCUGAUGUUGCUACACAGUAAUUAAUACAACAUAGAUUAGACAGUAAAAUAGUGUUAGCUGAUGUUACUACACAGUAAUUAAUACAACAUAGAUUAGACAGUAAAAUAGUGUUAGCUGAUGUUGCUACACAGUAAUUAAUACACCAUAGAUUAGACAGUAAAAUAGUGUUAGCUGAUGUUACUACACAGUAAUUAAUACAACAUAGAUUAGACAGUAAAAUAGUGUUAGCUGAUGUUACUACACAGUAAUUAAUACACCAUAGAUUAGACAGUAAAAUAGUGUUAGCUGAUGUUGCUACACAGUAAUUAAUACAACAUAGAUUAGACAGUAAAAUAGUGUUAGCUGAUGUUGCUACACAGUAAUUAAUACAACAUAGAUUAGACAGUAAAAUAGUGUUAGCUGAUGUUGCUACACAGUAAUUAAUACACCAUAGAUUAGACAGUAAAAUAGUGUUAGCUGAUGUUGCUACACAGUAAUUAAUACACCAUAGAUUAGACAGUAAAAUAGUGUUAGCUGAUGUUACUACACAGUAAUUAAUACAACAUAGAUUAGACAGUAAAAUAGUGUUAGCUGAUGUUGCUACACAGUAAUUAAUACAACAUAGAUUAGACAGUAAAAUAGUGUUAGCUGAUGUUGCUACACAGUAAUUAAUACACCAUAGAUUAGACAGUAAAAUAGUGUUAGCUGAUGUUACUACACAGUAAUUAAUACACCAUAGAUUAGACAGUAAAAUAGUGUUAGCUGAUGUUGCUACACAGUAAUUAAUACACCAUAGAUUAGACAGUAAAAUAGUGUUAGCUGAUGUUGCUACACAGUAAUUAAUACAACAUAGAUUAGACAGUAAAAUAGUGUUAGCUGAUGUUGCUACACAGUAAUUAAUACACCAUAGAUUAGACAGUAAAAUAGUGUUAGCUGAUGUUGCUACACAGUAAUUAAUACAACAUAGAUUAGACAGUAAAAUAGUGUUAGCUGAUGUUGCUACACAGUAAUUAAUACAACAUAGAUUAGACAGUAAAAUAGUGUUAGCUGAUGUUACUACACAGUAAUUAAUACACCAUAGAUUAGACAGUAAAAUAGUGUUAGCUGAUGUUGCUACACAGUAAUUAAUACAACAUAGAUUAGACAGUAAAAUAGUGUUAGCUGAUGUUGCUACACAGUAAUUAAUACAACAUAGAUUAGACAGUAAAAUAGUGUUAGCUGAUGUUGCUACACAGUAAUUAAUACAACAUAGAUUAGACAGUAAAAUAGUGUUAGCUGAUGUUGCUACACAGUAAUUAAUACAACAUAGAUUAGACAGUAAAAUAGUGUUAGCUGAUGUUGCUACACAGUAAUUAAUACAACAUAGAUUAGACAGUAAAAUAGUGUUAGCUGAUGUUACUACACAGUAAUUAAUACAACAUAGAUUAGACAGUAAAAUAGUGUUAGCUGAUGUUGCUACACAGUAAUUAAUACACCAUAGAUUAGACAGUAAAAUAGUGUUAGCUGAUGUUGCUACACAGUAAUUAAUACACCAUAGAUUAGACAGUAAAAUAGUGUUAGCUGAUGUUACUACACAGUAAUUAAUACACCAUAGAUUAGACAGUAAAAUAGUGUUAGCUGAUGUUGCUACACAGUAAUUAAUACAACAUAGAUUAGACAGUAAAAUAGUGUUAGCUGAUGUUGCUACACAGUAAUUAAUACAACAUAGAUUAGACAGUAAAAUAGUGUUAGCUGAUGUUGCUACACAGUAAUUAAUACAACAUAGAUUAGACAGUAAAAUAGUGUUAGCUGAUGUUGCUACACAGUAAUUAAUACAACAUAGAUUAGACAGUAAAAUAGUGUUAGCUGAUGUUGCUACACAGUAAUUAAUACAACAUAGAUUAGACAGUAAAAUAGUGUUAGCUGAUGUUGCUACACAGUAAUUAAUACACCAUAGAUUAGACAGUAAAAUAGUGUUAGCUGAUGUUACUACACAGUAAUUAAUACACCAUAGAUUAGACAGUAAAAUAGUGUUAGCUGAUGUUACUACACAGUAAUUAAUACACCAUAGAUUAGACAGUAAAAUAGUGUUAGCUGAUGUUGCUACACAGUAAUUAAUACACCAUAGAUUAGACAGUAAAAUAGUGUUAGCUGAUGUUGCUACACAGUAAUUAAUACAACAUAGAUUAGACAGUAAAAUAGUGUUAGCUGAUGUUGCUACACAGUAAUUAAUACAACAUAGAUUAGACAGUAAAAUAGUGUUAGCUGAUGUUGCUACACAGUAAUUAAUACAACAUAGAUUAGACAGUAAAAUAGUGUUAGCUGAUGUUGCUACACAGUAAUUAAUACACCAUAGAUUAGACAGUAAAAUAGUGUUAGCUGAUGUUGCUACACAGUAAUUAAUACAACAUAGAUUAGACAGUAAAAUAGUGUUAGCUGAUGUUGCUACACAGUAAUUAAUACAACAUAGAUUAGACAGUAAAAUAGUGUUAGCUGAUGUUACUACACAGUAAUUAAUACACCAUAGAUUAGACAGUAAAAUAGUGUUAGCUGAUGUUACUACACAGUAAUUAAUACACCAUAGAUUAGACAGUAAAAUAGUGUUAGCUGAUGUUGCUACACAGUAAUUAAUACAACAUAGAUUAGACAGUAAAAUAGUGUUAGCUGAUGUUGCUACACAGUAAUUAAUACAACAUAGAUUAGACAGUAAAAUAGUGUUAGCUGAUGUUGCUACACAGUAAUUAAUACACCAUAGAUUAGACAGUAAAAUAGUGUUAGCUGAUGUUGCUACACAGUAAUUAAUACAACAUAGAUUAGACAGUAAAAUAGUGUUAGCUGAUGUUGCUACACAGUAAUUAAUACACCAUAGAUUAGACAGUAAAAUAGUGUUAGCUGAUGUUACUACACAGUAAUUAAUACAACAUAGAUUAGACAGUAAAAUAGUGUUAGCUGAUGUUGCUACACAGUAAUUAAUACACCAUAGAUUAGACAGUAAAAUAGUGUUAGCUGAUGUUGCUACACAGUAAUUAAUACACCAUAGAUUAGACAGUAAAAUAGUGUUAGCUGAUGUUGCUACACAGUAAUUAAUACACCAUAGAUUAGACAGUAAAAUAGUGUUAGCUGAUGUUACUACACAGUAAUUAAUACACCAUAGAUUAGACAGUAAAAAUGAUGGUACUGCUUUUCCAUUUUUCAUUGAUAUACUGUAUAAAAAUGAAUAUACCGGUCAGAUUUUGGCAACUGAGCUGUGAGUUUUUUAAUUGUAAAAGCUACAGAUUUUUUUUUGUUACAUAAUUUUUACAGUUUACGUAAAAAAACAAUGCAUUUUUAACAAUGGUGUAGUACUAUCAUGAGGCAGUUGAAUAAUGGUGUAGUACUAUCAUGAGGCAGUUGAAUAAUGGUGUAGUACUAUCAUGAGGCAGUUGAAUAAAGGUGUAGUACUAUCAUGAGGCAGUUGAAUAAUGGUGUAGUACUAUCAUGAGGCAGUUGAAUAAAGGUGUAGUACUAUCAUGAGGCAGUUGAAUAAUGGUGUAGUACUAUCAUGAGGCAGUUGAAUAAUGGUGUAGUACUAUCAUGAGGCAGUUGAAUAAAGGUGUAGUACUAUCAUGAGGCAGUUGAAUAAUGGUGUAGUACUAUCAUGAGGCAGUUGAAUAAAGGUGUAGUACUAUCAUGAGGCAGUUGAAUAAUGGUGUAGUACUAUCAUGAGGCAGUUGAAUAAUGGUGUAGUACUAUCAUGAGGCAGUUGAAUAAAGGUGUAGUACUAUCAUGAGGCAGUUGAAUAAUGGUGUAGUACUAUCAUGAGGCAGUUGAAUAAAGGUGUAGUACUAUCAUGAGGCAGUUGAAUAAAGGUGUAGUACUAUCAUGAGGCAGUUGAAUAAAGGUGUAGUACUAUCAUGAGGCAGUUUAUUAAUGGUGUAGUACUAUCAUGAGGCAGUUGAAUAAUGGUGUAGUACUAUCAUGAGGCAGUUUAUUAAUGGUGUAGUACUAUCAUGAGGCAGUUGAAUAAUGGUGUAGUACUAUCAUGAGGCAGUUGAAUAAUGGUGUAGUACUAUCAUGAGGCAGUUGAAUAAUGGUGUAGUACUAUCAUGAGGCAGUUGAAUAAUGGUGUAGUACUAUCAUGAGGCAGUUUAUUAAUGGUGUAGUACUAUCAUGAGGCAGUUGAAUAAUGGUGUAGUACUAUCAUGAGGCAGUUGAAUAAUGGUGUAGUACUAUCAUGAGGCAGUUGAAUAAAGGUGUAGUACUAUCAUGAGGGUGUUUAAUGAUGGGGUAGUACUAUCAUGAGGGUGUUUAAUAAUGGUGUAGUACUAUCAUGAGGGUGUUUAAUGAUGGUGUAGUACUAUCAUGAGGGUGUUUAAUAAUGGUGUAGUACUAUCAUGAGGGUGUUUAAUAAUGGUGUAGUACUAUCAUGAGGGUGUUUAAUAAUGGUGUAGUACUAUCAUGAGGGUGUUUAAUAAUGGUGUAGUACUAUCAUGAGGGUGUUUAAUAAUGGUGUAGUACUACCAUGAGGCAGUUUGUAUUCCUCACUGAGGGCCGCCAUAACCGCCAUGUGGCCCUCAAUGAAAAGCAUCUAAAUCAUGUUAGAUUUGUCAUUUGAAAUCCAUGGUUGACAUGCCACAAUCAUUUCUUGAAACCCAAAGUGCUCCCAGGAUGCCUUGCAGCACUUUUCAGCAUCUUCACAUGACCUGGUGACCUCUAUUGUUCAAUUGUAACCCUAAGUAACACUUUAUGAUAGUUUGUACUAUUGUCAAAGAUGUUCACAUGCAGCUUAAGUCCAAAUUCUUCAAAAUUCACAUUGAGUCUUUUCUACCACAAAUUGUAUUGAUACAUUUAUACAUUUAAACAUACAUUUAAACAUAUAUACAUUUAAACAUACAUUUAAACAUACAUACAUUUAUACAUGUAAACAUACAUUUAAACAUACAUUUAAACAUACAUACAUGUAAACAUACAUAUAAACAUACAUACAUGUAAGCAUACAUUUAAACAUACAUACAUGGUGUGUUGUAAACAUACAUUUAAACAUACAUACAUGUAAACAUACAUUUAAACAUACAUACAUGGUGUGUUGUAAACAUACAUUUAAACAUACAUACAUUUAUACAUGUAAACAUACAUUUAAACAUACAUUUAAACAUACAUAUAUUUAUACAUGUAAACAUACAUUUAAACAUACAUGUAAACAUACAUAUAAACAUACAUACAUGUAAACAUACAUGUAAACAUACAUACAUGUAAACAUACAUUUAAACAUACAUACGUGGUGUGUUGUGCCAAUAACUCAUGUCUGGGGAUGCAGAAUAUGAACGUCCUCUUAAGUGCAAAAAUAGUCUUCAAAAUAAAAGCAUAGCGCUAAUUAAAAACAAUCCAGGUUUUAUUGUCAUUGUAGGCAAGAAUAAGAGCAUCAACCUUGUUAUGUAAGAAUAUCCAACAUUGAUUGAUUGCCUCCCUUGCAGCACACGCAAUAAACUGCACAAUCUGCAUUGAGAAAAUCUGCACAAAUGGAAGGAAAACAAUGUCAAAAAAUGAAUAGUUAUCAUAGUUCCAAAUGUGGCCACGUUAGCAAGUCCCACGGGCGUCCAGAUCAAAUAUUACACUAAUAUGUUGUUAGCUUGACAUAUUUCUGUCUUUUGCCAUCUUUAACUUGACAUUGUUUGAUUUGUGCACGCGGCCUUCAGUUUGGACACCCUGACUUCACGCCUGGUGUCACGUGACAAGCAGAAACACUUCCUGUUUGCUGCCCGUCACCUGACUCAUCCUCCUCUCAUUUAAGCGGCAAAGAAAAAGUCAAGCUUGCAAGGUCGUCAACUUCCUUUUGUGUACGUUGGAGAAAAGGUAGAUAUCUCAGGUAGUAGUCUCAUCCAAAUGUGAGAAGUAGUUCCAUUUUGUGUGAAAUAUUUAGCUUUUGAUUAGCUUCCCCGACAAGUAGAACACGUGGCUGGAGGCUGCUUUGCCCUUUUAGAAUGUAUUUUGUGAAGAGAAGGGUAGGCGGCAGCGUCUUGUCCACGCCUGCUGCCGGACGCAACACCAAGUGUCGUCACGCCAGCAAUAUUUAGCGUCCGUGUUGGUCCGGCAAGCAGAAUCCACUGAAUGUAAACAAAAAUCAACAACAACAACAAAACCUCCCAACAGUCCAGGAGGCGGCGCGAUGGGCGUGGCCUGCUGACUUUAGACGCAUCAGGCCUGCGCGUGAGAGUGUGCACUUAUGUGUACUUAAUGUGUGUACUUAGUGUGUGUGUGUGUGUGUGUGUGUGUGUGAAGUGCAGAUGUCAGGUCUUCAGUCUAAAUGAGGCAAAGGAGACGAAAAUAUUGUUGGCCACUUUCUGCUCGCGCUGCACUCUUUUUGACUUUAAACAUUUCCUAUGCAGUUUUUUUGUUUACACUUCAAUAAAGUUGUACUUGUUUGACUUCAA